UACAGAGGUCUCAAGCGUUGUUCGGAUUCAUUGGGCGUAAAGGGUGCGUAGGUGGCGCCGUAAGUCGGGUGUGAAAUUUCGGAGCUUAACUCCGAAACUGCAUUCGAUACUGCGGUGCUUGAGGACUGGAGAGGAGACUGGAAUUCAUGGUGUAGCAGUGAAAUGCGUAGAGAUCAUGAGGAAGACCAGUGGCGAAGGCGGGUCUCUGGACAGUUCCUGACACUGAGGCACGAAGGCCAGGGGGGCAAACGGG
rnacentral:rRNA from 1 species